CCCACCACCUAUCCCUUGUUACCGCCGCCUGCCUCUAUUUGCCGAGCGCUAGCCGCCACUGAGCCCCUGGUAAUCCCGUGCUCACCGGAAUCCUGCUGCACCGCAGUGCCGUCGCAUCUCCACGCCGCCGCCGCCGCCGCCCUUGCUACUGAUCUGCUGUCCUAUGCGCGUUCGGACGUCGCCCGCCCGCCCGUCGUCGCUCGAGGAUAGGAGGGUCAGCAUAGGACCGAGCAGCAGUGCUGCUGCUCUCUUUCAGCCAAUCCACCACCAGCACGUGCCAAUUCCGGCCGCCUUCGCCUGAGUUCCGACGGUGGCGGCCGUGGUCCUGCCAGCACGCGCCCAAGCCAUUGCUUAGAGAGGCAAGAAGAAGAAAAGAAAAGGAGAGAAGACAGAGGAAGAAGAAGGAAAGAGGAACAGAAAGCAGAACAAAUUUUGGUUACUCGGCGAUGAGUACUGUAAGCCACAUCUCUUUCGCUGACGACCGAAGUGAUCCACCCUAAAAGCCAACUUCAGUAGCUGAGUUGACAAAGCAGCAUGAGCUUAGUGGUACUCUUCAAAGUGAGGCAGAGAGUAAGAUGAAGAAGCAGAUAUCAAAUGCAAAAUCCAAGGAGCUCAGCAGCCACGACAUCUUUUCUGAUACUCAAGAAUCCAGGUCUAACAGUGCAAGGAACUCAUAAAAUGGCAGCACUACCUCACACACCUGUGAAAAACGCAAACGUACUGCAACAUAUCUGGUACUCCAUUGGUUUUUUUUUUUGCAUUUCAAAGUGAUAUUCAACUAAUGUUACCGUAAGACCAUGCCCAAGGAAAUCCCUUCACGGGCAAAUUCCCGUCGUGAAGGGAUUCCCGUUCCCUUCAACGCUCCCAACGGAUUCCCUUCACGGUUCCCUUCACGACGGGAUUCUCAGGGUCAUUCCCUUCAGGACGGGAUUCUCUCUCCAUUCCCUUCGCGAUUCCCUUCGAAGGGAAGCUGUUGGAGAUGAGAGAAAAUAAAGGGAAUGGGAACGGGGAAGGGAAUCGGGAAGGGAACGAAAUGAAAGGAAUAUGGUUGGGGAUAGUCAAUCAACAGGGAGCGCAUUCUCGUUUGGAGAGGCCAACGCUGACAGCGCGCCGAAAGCAUUGAACAUAACUGGCAAGCUCUCUGACCUCAUCGGCAGCUCUUUCUCACGGAUGGCUGGUUGCCUCUUGCUACUUGUUCCCGAACAUGUCGCGAUAAUAUGUAAUCUGGGUGUACAUGUGUUUGUAUAUGUCUAUGUAUACAAAAUUUUGGA